AACGGGGAAUCAGGGUUCGAUUCCGGAGAGGGAGCCUGAGAAACGGCUACCACAUCCAAGGAAGGCAGCAGGCGCGCAAAUUACCCACUCCCGGCACGGGGAGGUAGUGACGAAAAAUAACGAUACGGAACUCAUACGAGGCUCCGUAAUCGGAAUGAGUACACUUUAAAUCCUUUAACGAGGAUCUAUUGGAGGGCAAGUCUGGUGCCAGCAGCCGCGGUAAUUCCAGCUCCAAUAGCGUAUAUUAAAGUUGUUGCGGUUAAAAAGCUCGCAGUUGGAUCUCGGUUUCACUCAGGCGGUACACCUUGCGGUGUUCACUGUCUGGGCGGACGUUUCUGUUGGUUCGCUGUUGGUUCUCUUAAUCGAGUGCCGAUUGGUGGCCAGCACGUUUACUUUGAAAAAAUUGGAGUGCUCAAAGCAGGCGUUACAGCCUGAACAUUAGUGCAUGGAAUAAUGGAAUAGGAUCUCGAUUCUAUUUCGUUGGCUUUCGGAGUCGAGGUAAUGAUUAAUAGGGACAGACGGGGGCAUUCGUACUGCGACGUUAGAGGUGAAAUUCUUGGAUCGUCGCAAGACGAACUACUGCGAAAGCAUUUGCCAAGAAUGUUUUCAUUAAUCAAGAACGAAAGUUAGAGGUUCGAAGGCGAUCAGAUACCGCCCUAGUUCUAACCAUAAACGAUGCCAACCGGCGAUCCGUCGUCGUUAAUUGAAUGACUCGACGGGCAGCCUCCGGGAAACCAGAGUGUUUGGGUUCCGGGGGAAGUAUGGUUGCAAAGCUGAAACUUAAAGGAAUUGACGGAAGGGCGCCACCAGGAGUGGAGCCUGCGGCUUAAUUUGACCCAACACGGGAAAUCUCACCAGGCCCGGACACCGGAAGGAUUGACAGAUUGAGAGCUCUUUCUUGAUUCGGUGGGUGGUGGUGCAUGGCCGUUCUUAGUUGGUGGAGCGAUUUGUCUGGUUAAUUCCGAUAACGAACGAGACUCUGGCCUACUAACUAGAAGGGUCGUUCUUUACGAGCGGCCCUCUGCUUCUUAGAGGGACGGGCGGCGUUUAGCCGCACGAGAAUGAGCAAUAACAGGUCUGUGAUGCCCUUAGAUGUUCUGGGCUGCACGCGCGCUACACUGAAGGAAUCAGCAUGUUCUCCCCACCCUGAAAAGGGCGGGUAACCCGUUGAAACUCCUUCGUGAUGGGGAUUGGAGAUUGUAAUUAUUCUCCAUGAACGAGGAAUUCCCAGUAGGCGCGAGUCAUCAGCUUGCGUCGAUUACGUCCCUGCCCUUUGUACACACCGCCCGUCGCUACUACCGAUCGAGUGAUUUAGUGAGGACUUCGGACUGGUCUCCAAGUUGGCUUCGGUCAGCUCGGAGUUCCGGAAAGAUGCCCAAACUUGAUCACUUAGAGGAAGUAAAAGUCGUAACAAGGUU
rnacentral:rRNA from 1 species